rnacentral:rRNA from 1 species
AUUGAACGCUGGCGGCAUGCUUUACACAUGCAAGUCGAACGGUAACAGGCCGCAAGGUGCUGACGAGUGGCGAACGGGUGAGUAAUGCAUCGGAACGUGCCCAGUCGUGGGGGAUAACGCAGCGAAAGCUGCGCUAAUACCGCAUACGAUCUAUGGAUGAAAGCGGGGGACCGUAAGGCCUCGCGCGAUUGGAGCGGCCGAUGUCAGAUUAGGUAGUUGGUGGGGUAAAAGGCUCACCAAGCCAACGAUCUGUAGCUGGUCUGAGAGGACGAUCAGCCACACUGGAACUGAGACACGGUCCAGACUCCUACGGGAGGCAGCAGUGGGGGAAUUUUGGACAAUGGGCGCAAGCCUGAUCCAGCCAUGCCGCGUGAGUGAAGAAGGCCU